UUGCUACAGGCUUAACACAUGCAAGUCGAGGGGCAGCAUGGUCUUAGCUUGCUAAGGCCGAUGGCGACCGGCGCACGGGUGAGUAACACGUAUCCAACCUGCCGUCUACUCUUGGACAGCCUUCUGAAAGGAAGAUUAAUACAAGAUGGCAUCAUGAGUCCGCAUGUUCACAUGAUUAAAGGUAUUCCGGUAGACGAUGGGGAUGCGUUCCAUUAGAUAGUAGGCGGGGUAACGGCCCACCUAGUCUUCGAUGGAUAGGGGUUCUGAGAGGAAGGUCCCCCACAUUGGAACUGAGACACGGUCCAAACUCCUACGGGAGGCAGCAGUGAGGAAUAUUGGUCAAUGGGCGCAGGCCUGAACCAGCCAAGUAGCGUGAAGGAUGACUGCCCUAUGGGUUGUAAACUUCUUUUAUAAAGGAAUAAAGUCGGGUAUGGAUACCCGUUUGCAUGUACUUUAUGAAUAAGGAUCGGCUAACUCCGUGCCAGCAGCCGCGGUAAUACGGAGGAUCCGAGCGUUAUCCGGAUUUAUUGGGUUUAAAGGGAGCGUAGGUGGAUGUUUAAGUCAGUUGUGAAAGUUUGCGGCUCAACCGUAAAAUUGCAGUUGAUACUGGAUAUCUUGAGUGCAGUUGAGGCAGGCGGAAUUCGUGGUGUAGCGGUGAAAUGCUUAGAUAUCACGAAGAACUCCGAUUGCGAAGGCAGCCUGCUAAGCUGCAACUGACAUUGAGGCUCGAAAGUGUGGGUAUCAAACAGGAUUAGAUACCCUGGUAGUCCACACGGUAAACGAUGAAUACUCGCUGUUUGCGAUAUACGGCAAGCGGCCAAGCGAAAGCGUUAAGUAUUCCACCUGGGGAGUACGCCGGCAACGGUGAAACUCAAAGGAAUUGACGGGGGCCCGCACAAGCGGAGGAACAUGUGGUUUAAUUCGAUGAUACGCGAGGAACCUUACCCGGGCUUAAAUUGCAGAUGAAUUACGGUGAAAGCCGUAAGCCGCAAGGCAUCUGUGAAGGUGCUGCAUGGUUGUCGUCAGCUCGUGCCGUGAGGUGUCGGCUUAAGUGCCAUAACGAGCGCAACCCUUGUUGUCAGUUACUAACAGGUUCCGCUGAGGACUCUGACAAGACUGCCAUCGUAAGAUGUGAGGAAGGUGGGGAUGACGUCAAAUCAGCACGGCCCUUACGUCCGGGGCUACACACGUGUUACAAUGGGGGGUACAGAGGGCCGCUACCACGCGAGUGGAUGCCAAUCCCAAAAACCUCUCUCAGUUCGGACUGGAGUCUGCAACCCGACUCCACGAAGCUGGAUUCGCUAGUAAUCGCGCAUCAGCCACGGCGCGGUGAAUACGUUCCCGGGCCUUGUACACACCGCCCGUCAAGCCAUGGGAGCCGGGGGUACCUGAAGUGCGUAACCGCGAGGAGCGCCCUAGGGUAAAACUGGUGACUGGGGCUAAGU
rnacentral:rRNA from 1 species